CCUACGGGAGGCAGCAGUGGGGGAUAUUGGACAAUGGGGGGAACCCUGAUCCAGCGACGCCGCGUGAGUGAAGAAGUAUUUCGGUAUGUAAAGCUCUGUCAGCAGGGAAGAAAGAAAUGACGGUACCUGACCAAGAAGCCCCGGCUAACUACGUGCCAGCAGCCGCGGUAAGACGUGGGGGGCAAGCGUUAUCCGGAAUUACGGGGUGUAAAGGGGGCGUAGGGGGUUAAGUAAGUCUGGAGUGAAAGGCCGGGGCUCAACCCCGGAACUGUUCUGGAAACUAUUGAACUUGAGUGCGGGAGAGGUAGGCGGAAUUCCUGGUGUAGCGGUGAAAUGCGUAGAUAUUAGGAGGAACACCAGUGGCGAAGGCGACUUACUGGACUGUAACUGACGCUGAGGCGCGAAAGCGUGGGGAGCAAACAGGAUUAGAUACCCCAGUAGUC
rnacentral:rRNA from 1 species